GGUAAAAAUUAAGCCCUAACCUCAUUUGUAAACAACCCACUGCUGCGCCGUUCUUCACUCUCAGACCCCUCUUAUCUUCUUCCUCGAACGGAGAUGCUCUCCAAGCACAACCAUAAACGGCUGGCUACCCCAACCAUCCUAGAAACAACAGCCACAUUCUCCUAUUCUCUCAACCCCAUCAUCUCUCGGCCUCUCACCACCUAAACCAGAGCCUCCACGGCUGCCACUCACGACGCAGCUCACUCCUAGCCUCCCUCCUUUCCUCUGGCUCAACCGAGAACCACAAAGCUUCAUCCCCGUCGCCUUUUCCCUCUUUAACGCUUGACCCCGGAGUCCAACGUUAGAGCACUCCACAGACGAUGAGGCCAUACACCUAAGAAAUGAAAGAAAUAUCUCUUGUAUUGCUAGGAAAAGUUGGGGGAAAACCCCGAUUACAUCCCUUCGAAUGGAAAAAAACCCUCUUUUACGCUGUAUUUUCUUUGAAUAAGUGGAGUGCAGGGUAUGGGCGAUGAGCUGGGGAGUGGUGCUGCACAUGGAGUGCUGGAAAUGGUGAUGCCUGGAAACCGAGUUGCAUGGGUGUUGGUGAUAGUCCCGAUGGAUUUCUUGUGAGCUGCUCGGGAGGCGUGGGUCUGUUGAAAGUAUGGGCGCUCGUGGGUGUUGUCGGGCGUGCUGGAGCCGAGCUGCACGUGGGAACCGGGUUUUGGCUGCUGGUGGAGGCAUGGACAGAAGCUUGGAAACGAGAGACAAAAACCUAAUGGGUCGAGGGCUUCUUCAAACGGGCUGCAACACUGGGAUGCCAAAUCCCGGGCUUGUAGCUUUAGAUUGAGCCAAUUUGGUCCGUCUUGUUAGGGGUUUAACAUUGAUUCGAGCCUGUAACACCAAAAAAA